rnacentral:rRNA from 1 species
AUUGAACGCUGGCGGCAGGCUUAACACAUGCAAGUCGAGCGGGGUGAUGGUGCUUGCACUAUCACUUAGCGGCGGACGGGUGAGUAAUGCUUAGGAAUCUGCCUAUUAGUGGGGGACAACAUCUCGAAAGGGAUGCUAAUACCGCAUACGUCCUACGGGAGAAAGCAGGGGAUCACUUGUGACCUUGCGCUAAUAGAUGAGCCUAAGUCGGAUUAGCUAGUUGGUGGGGUAGAGGCCUACCAGGGCGACGAUCUGUAGCGGGUCUGAGAGGAUGAUCCGCCACACUGGGACGGGGACACGGCCCAGACUCCUACGGGAGGCAGCAGUGGGGAAUAUUGGACAAUGGGGGGAACCCUGAUCCAGCCAUGCCGCGUGUGUGAAGAAGGCCUUAUGGUUGUAAAGCACUUUAAGCGAGGAGGAGGCUCUUUUGGUUAAUACCCAAGAUGAGUGGACGUUACUCCCAGAAUAAGCACCGGCUAACUCUGUGCCAGCCGCCGCCGUAA